rnacentral:rRNA from 1 species
GAUGAACGCUGGCGGCGUGCCUAAUACAUGCAAGUCGAGCGAACAGAUGAGGAGCUUGCUCCUCUGAUGUUAGCGGCGGACGGGUGAGUAACACGUGGAUAACCUACCUAUAAGACUGGGAUAACUUCGGGAAACCGGAGCUAAUACCGGAUAAUAUAUUGAACCGCAUGGUUCAAUAGUGAAAGACGGUUUUGCUGUCACUUAUAGAUGGAUCCGCGCCGCAUUAGCUAGUUGGUAAGGUAACGGCUUACCAAGGCAACGAUGCGUAGCCGACCUGAGAGGGUGAACGGCCAAACUGGAACUGAGACACGGUCCAGACUCCUACGGGAGGCAGCAGUAGGGAAUCUUCCGCAAUGGGCGAAAGCUUGACGGAGCAACGCCGCGUGAGUGAUGAAGGUCUUCGGAUCGUAAAACUCUGUUAUUAGGGAAGAACAAAUGUGUAAGUAACUAUGCACGUCUUGACGGUACCUAAUCAGAAAGCCACGGCUAACUACGUG